rnacentral:lncRNA from 1 species
GCACUAUAUGUUUGGUAAUAAGUGUAAGAUUCUUAAGAAAUGAACUUAACCUUAAGAAAUGAACUUCCAGGCCUCAAAAUAGACUUUUAUCUAUCUAUUAUUUGUUUUAUUUUGUAGGUGGAAAGGAAACUUUAACUGCACCUGGAAAGACUGGAGCAUGCAAUAUUUUUUUAAAUACCUGAUUAACACCUGCUUAAAUAUUUUCUUCCAAUCUUUAAUUAAACAGUUAAGAAAGUUGAAAGUAGCUGAUAUGGGACCACAGAAUAUUGGCCAAUCAGUGUUUUACAUAAUGUCUGUGGAGUGGCCAUGUGCUCUAGAAGAGUGAGACAACCUUGGCAUAACCUUCUUUAAGAGCCAAUCACAUAACACUGUGAAUAUUUAUACAAUUUUAGACCAUUACCUGUUUCAGCUCCCUUUGAUGAUUCAUGCUAAGGGUAGAGAACCGGAAGGUAUGUUUUCCUACAGAAUCAUAAAAAUAGCCAAAAUAUAUUUUUCUUUUAGCCAUGCAUUUCAACAUGUAUAAACUCUCUGGAUGGUAUUUCUUACCAUUUGGUCCAACUCUACUUCCUGAAGACACUGUAUGAAAAGAACUAGUCUAAUUUAAGAAAGAAUCUGUCCCUGGUAAAACAAUACAUAUAAAAAGGAAAAAAGAAAUCAUCUAAUUCAGCCAACUUCCCUAAAGCCUUGAUCUUAGAAUCUGGGUUUUAAAUAGAAAACUUAAACAAGAGUUACUAUCCAAGUUAUUUUGUUCUCAGUACAUGCAGGGUCAUUUUAUGAAAAAU